GCGGUGGAUUGGACGGUUGCGGGCAUAAGGAGCAAUCCUGUGCGUGAGGAAAGUCCGAGCUCCAUAGGGCAGGGUGCAAGGUAACACCUUGUGGAGGCAACUCUAAGGAAAGUGCAACAGAAAUAUACCGCCGAUUUUUAGUCGGUAAGGGUGGAAAGGUGAGGUAAGAGCUCACCCACGGUCUGGCGACUGACCUGUGCUGUAAACCCCACUCGGAGCAACACCUGAAUGAAAGAUUAAGUCUGCCCGGCGACUUUCGAGAAGGUGGCUUGAGCCGUGCAGUGAUGUACGGGUUAGAUAGAUGACCGUCUUAAAUGACAGAACUCGGCUUACAGAUCCGCCGUAUUU
rnacentral:RNase_P_RNA from 1 species